GGCCAUCGGCCGUCGCCCUCUGCCGUCCGCUGUUGUCGCCUGCUGCCCUUGGCCGCCGUCCAGCUGCCGCCGCCCCUUGUCUUCAACCUCCAAUCCCCCUUUCCCUCCUCUUAUGGCGAGCUUCAAAGCUCGGCCAUGGAGGCCGACCGGCGGAGCAAGUCCGCCCGUCCCCGGCGAGCUCCGGUCCCUAGGACCGUCACUGCAAGCCGGGGCACGUAGGAUCCGCCCCCCACCAGCCAUCCCGACGGUGCUUAAGGGUGCAGAGCCGCCUCCCCCGGAGUCGAGGGAGAGGCGAAUCCGGCGCCAAGAGCCGGCCCCGGAGGGAGGACGCCCCUGCGCGGGCGAUUGGCCGCCGCGUCGACGUAGGAAGGGCGUCCCGGCGGUGGGGGAGGAGGAGGAAGAACGACGUUGAAGUCGUAGGCGAAGCCGGGCGGUCACGCAGCGGCCUCGAUGUUGGGAAUGGAGGGGGCGCCAUGGCUUGUAGCCAGAGGGCCGCCACCUCCGUUCCGAGGGCGUGCAAGCAUGGGGGACGGCAACGGUGGAGGAGGCGGCAGCGGGAGCAGUGCCGGCGCCAUGGGCGGCGGCAGUGUGGACGACGAGCGCGGCGUCCAGUGUGGCGGCAGUUGCGGCGUCGAUUGCCGCCGACCGCCACUCCCCUUAGUGUGGAUGCCGUUGAAAUGGCGAGGAGGGAUGCGCUGAGCAUGGAUGUAGCGAAGAACGCAACGAAUCGUGCUCUGCAGCAUCUGGCGGCGGAGGCCUCCUGCGGUUUGGCCACGGUGGAGUGUAGACUCGACGGCGUCGGUGAUGGAGUCCACCAUGGCAUUCAUGGAAGGGGGCGUUCAGCGCCGGCGAUGUCCUCCCCGAGAACUCCCCGGCGGUCAUCUGUGUUCUUUUUCUUUCUUCUCCUGUCGCUGCCAUCCCUUCUUUUCUUUCUCGUCAGUGGCGAGCGCGUGCGUGAUAACGUGUUGAGUGAAAAGUGUUGUAACAGUGUGUAUUGAUGGACAAUAAAGUAAUAUAUACAAAGGGGAUCAGGCAUUUGCCUGA